rnacentral:lncRNA from 1 species
CGGCUAUGCCAGUCGGCCGAGAAUUCUAAAUUCCAAUCUCCCAAGCUAGCCAAAUAUUGUAAGCCCACCCAAAUCCUACACUUAUAAACAACAGUAACAGCACAACACUUGGAGUGCGAGAAGGGGAGCACCAGCUGCUAAGCUAGCUGCUGGUCAAAGGUCAAGGCCAGGAGAGAGGAGCAAGCAGAAGCAGGCAAGGGGAGGGAAGGGAGGAAGGAGGCAUCUACCACCUAACCUAC